CCUACGGGUGGCUGCAGUGAGGAAUAUUGGUCAAUGGACGAGAGUCUGAACCAGCCAAGUAGCGUGAAGGAUGACUGCCCUAUGGGUUGUAAACUUCUUUUAUAUGGGAAUAAAAUGUUCCACGUGUGGGAUUUUGUACGUACCAUAUGAAUAAGGAACGGCUAACUCUGUGCCAGCAGCCGCGGUAAUACGGAGGAUCCGAGCGUUAUCCGGAAUUAGUGGGUUUAAAGGGAGCGUAGGUGGAUUGUUAAGUCAGUUGUGAAAGUUUGCAGCUCAACCGUAAAAUUGCAGUUGAAACUGGCAGUCUUGAGUGCAGGAGAGGUAGGCGGAAUUCGUGGUGUAGCGGUGAAAUGCUUAGAUAUCACGAAGAACACUGAUUGCGAAGGCAGUUCACUGGACUGCAACUGACGCUGAGGCUCGAAAGUGUGGGUAUCAAACAGGAUUAGAUACCCGGGUAGUC
rnacentral:rRNA from 1 species